rnacentral:rRNA from 1 species
UGGGCAACAUGCCCUAGGGAGCGGGACAACCCGAGGAAACUCGGGCUAAUACCGCAUAAUUCGUCGUGCCUCAAGGCGCGACGGGAAAUGGUAGCUUCGGCCUCCGCCCUGGGAUGGGCCCGCGGCGCAUUAGCUUGUUGGUGGGGUAAUGGCCUACCAAGGCAACGAUGGGUAGCUGGUCUGAGAGGACGAUCAGCCACACUGGGACUGAGACACGGCCCAGACUCCUACGGGAGCAG